UACGGGGGGGGUAAGCGUUGUUCGGAAUUACUGGGCGUAAAGGGCUCGUAGGCGGCCAACUAAGUCAGACGUGAAAUCCCUCAGCUUAACUGGGGAACUGCGUCUGAUACUGGAUGGCUUGGAUUUGGGAGAGGGAUGCGGAAUUCCAGGUGUAGCGGUGAAAUGCGUAGAUAUCUGGAGGAACACCGGUGGCGAAGGCGGCAUCCUGGACCAACAUUGACGCUGAGGAGCGAAAGCCAGGGGAGCAAACGGGG
rnacentral:rRNA from 1 species